rnacentral:rRNA from 1 species
ACUCAAAUGAAUAGACGGGGACCCGCACAAGCGGUGGAGCGUGUGGUUUAAUUCGACGAUAAGCGAAGAACCUUACCAGGGCUUGACAUCUCGGGAAUCCCCUAGAAAUAGGGGAGUGCCGCAAGGAACCCGAUGACAGGUACUGCAUGGUCGUCGUCAGCUCGUGUCGUGAGAUGUUGGGUUAAGUCCCGCAACGAGCGCAACCCUUGUCGUGUGUUGGAUUUUCACACGAGACUGCCUCGGUCAACGAGGAGGAAGGUGGGGAUGACGUCAGAUCAGCAUGGUCCUUACGCCCUGGGCGACACACGCGCUACAAUGGCCGGUACAACGGGUCGCGAAGCCGCGAGGCGGAGCUAAUCCCACCAAAGCCGGUCCCAGUUCGGAUUGGAGGCUGCAACUCGCCUCCAUGAAGCCGGAAUCGCUAGUAAACGCGGAUCAGCCAUGCCGCGUUGAAUACGUUCUCGGGUCUUGUACACACCGCCCGU